rnacentral:rRNA from 1 species
AGCGUACACGGUGGAUGCCUAGGCAAUCAGAGGCGAUGAAGGACGUGCUAAUCUGCGAUAAGCGUCGGUAAGGUGAUAUGAACCGUUAUAACCGACGAUUUCCGAAUGGGGAAACCCAGUGCAAUUCGUUGCACUAUCGUUUGAUGAAUACAUAGUCAAACGAAGCGAACCGAGGGAACUGAAACAUCUCAGUACCUCGAGGAAAAGAAAUCAACCGAGAUUCCCCUAGUAGCGGCGAGCGAACGGGGAGCAGCCCAGAGUCUUAAUCAGCAUUAGCAUCAGGAGAACGGUCUGGAAAGGCCGGCAGUAAAGGGUGAUAGCCCCGUAUCCGAAGGUGUUAGUGUUGUGAACUCGACGAGUAGGGCGGGACACGUGUUAUCCUGUCUGAAUAUGGGGGGACCAUCCUCCAAGGCUAAAUACUCCUGAUUGACCGAUAGUGAACCAGUACCGUGAGGGAAAGGCGAAAAGAACCCCGGCGAGGGGAGUGAAAUAGAACCUGAAACCGUGUACGUACAAGCAGUGGGAGCACCUUUAUGGUGUGACUGCGUACCUUUUGUAUAAUGGGUCAGCGACUUAUAUUCUGUAGCAAGGUUAACCGUAUAGGGGAGCCGUAGGGAAACCGAGUCUUAACUGGGCGAAUGAGUUGCAGGGUAUAGACCCGAAACCCGGUGAUCUAGCCAUGGGCAGGUUGAAGGUUGGGUAACACUAACUGGAGGACCGAACCGACUAAUGUUGAAAAAUUAGCGGAUGACUUGUGGCUGGGGGUGAAAGGCCAAUCAAACCGGGAGAUAGCUGGUUCUCCCCGAAAGCUAUUUAGGUAGCGCCUCGUGAACUCAUCUUCGGGGGUAGAGCACUGUUUCGACUAGGGGGUCAUCCCGACUUACCAACUCGAUGCAAACUACGAAUACCGAAGAAUGUUAUCACGGGAGACACACGGCGGGUGCUAACGUUCGUCGUGAAGAGGGAAACAACCCAGACCGCCAGCUAAGGUCCCAAAGUCAUAGUUAAGUGGGAAACGAAGUGGGAAGGCUCAGACAGCCAGGAUGUUGGCUUAGAAGCAGCCAUCAUUUAAAGAAAGCGUAAUAGCUCACUGGUCGAGUCGGCCUGCGCGGAAGAUGUAACGGGGCUAAACUAUGCACCGAAGCUGCGGCAGCGAUAUGUAAAUAUUGUUGGGUAGGGGAGCGUUCUGUAAGCCUGUGAAGGUGUGCUGUGAGGCAUGCUGGAGGUAUCAGAAGUGCGAAUGCUGACAUAAGUAACGAUAAUGCGGGUGAAAAACCCGCACGCCGGAAGACCAAGGGUUCCUGUCCAACGUUAAUCGGGGCAGGGUGAGUCGACCCCUAAGGCGAGGCAGAAAUGCGUAGUCGAUGGGAAACGGGUUAAUAUUCCCGUACUGGUGAUAAUUGCGAUGGGGGGACGGAGAAGGUUAGGCUGGCCGGGCGACGGUUGUCCCGGUUUAAGGAUGUAGGCAGGUGAAUUAGGCAAAUCCGGUUCACUAUAUGCUGAGGUCUGAUGACGAGUCACUACGGUGGCGAAGUAGCUCAUACCCCGCUUCCAGGAAAAGCCUCUAAGCUCUAGAUUAUCAUUAAUCGUACCCCAAACCGACACAGGUGGUCAGGUAGAGAAUACUCAGGCGCUUGAGAGAACUCGGGUGAAGGAACUAGGCAAAAUGGUGCCGUAACUUCGGGAGAAGGCACGCUGGCAUUAGGUGAAGUGGUUUACCCAUGGAGCUGAAGCCAGUCGCAGAUACCAGCUGGCUGCAACUGUUUAUUAAAAACACAGCACUGUGCAAACACGAAAGUGGACGUAUACGGUGUGACGCCUGCCCGGUGCUGGAAGGUUAAUUGAUGGGGUUAUCCGUAAGGAGAAGCUCUUGAUCGAAGCCCCAGUAAACGGCGGCCGUAACUAUAACGGUCCUAAGGUAGCGAAAUUCCUUGUCGGGUAAGUUCCGACCUGCACGAAUGGCGUAAUGAUGGCCAGGCUGUCUCCACCCGAGACUCAGUGAAAUUGAACUCGCUGUGAAGAUGCAGUGUACCCGCGGCAAGACGGAAAGACCCCGUGAACCUUUACUAUAGCUUGACACUGAACAUUGAGCCUUGAUGUGUAGGAUAGGUGGGAGGCUUUGAAGCGUGGACGCCAGUCUGCGUGGAGCCAACCUUGAAAUACCACCCUUUAAUGUUUGAUGUUCUAACGUAGCCCCGUAAUCCGGGGUGCGGACAGUGUCUGGUGGGUAGUUUGACUGGGGCGGUCUCCUCCCAAAGAGUAACGGAGGAGCACGAAGGUUGGCUAAGCAUGGUCGGACAUCAUGCGGUUAGUGCAAAGGCAUAAGCCAGCUUGACUGCGAGAGUGACGGCUCGAGCAGGUACGAAAGUAGGUCUUAGUGAUCCGGUGGUUCUGUAUGGAAGGGCCAUCGCUCAACGGAUAAAAGGUACUCCGGGGAUAACAGGCUGAUACCGCCCAAGAGUUCAUAUCGACGGCGGUGUUUGGCACCUCGAUGUCGGCUCAUCACAUCCUGGGGCUGAAGUAGGUCCCAAGGGUACGGCUGUUCGCCGUUUAAAGUGGUACGCGAGCUGGGUUUAGAACGUCGUGAGACAGUUCGGUCCCUAUCUGCCGUGGGCGUUGGAAGAUUGAAAGGGGCUGCUCCUAGUACGAGAGGACCGGAGUGGACGCACCACUGGUGUUCGGGUUGUCAUGCCAAUGGCAUUGCCCGGUAGCUAAGUGCGGAAGAGAUAACCGCUGAAAGCAUCUAAGCGGGAAACUUGCCUUGAGAUGAGUCUUCCCUGACUCUUUA